AUUGAACGCUGGCGGCAGGCCUAACACAUGCAAGUCGAGCGGAUGAAGGGAGCUUGCUCCUGGAUUCAGCGGCGGACGGGUGAGUAAUGCCUAGGAAUCUGCCUGGUAGUGGGGGAUAACGUCCGGAAACGGGCGCUAAUACCGCAUACGUCCUGAGGGAGAAAGUGGGGGAUCUUCGGACCUCACGCUAUCAGAUGAGCCUAGGUCGGAUUAGCUAGUUGGUGGGGUAAAGGCCUACCAAGGCGACGAUCCGUAACUGGUCUGAGAGGAUGAUCAGUCACACUGGAACUGAGACACGGUCCAGACUCCUACGGGAGGCAGCAGUGGGGAAUAUUGGACAAUGGGCGAAAGCCUGAUCCAGCCAUGCCGCGUGUGUGAAGAAGGUCUUCGGAUUGUAAAGCACUUUAAGUUGGGAGGAAGGGCAGUAAGUUAAGACCUGGCUGUUUUGACGUUACCAACAGAAUAAGCACCGGCUAACUUCGU
rnacentral:rRNA from 1 species